UCGACAACCCGAGGGAUCUAAGAUCUCUAUCUAUCCACAGAGCAGAUCAACAUGGAUAACUGCCAUGGAAGCUUCCCCAUUCUGCUCUGCCAAUGUGCCUCAACUCUAACCUGGCAGAAAUUGUUCUUGGGCUGGAAAAUGAAUUCAGUUUCCAUGGCCCAUUCAGUCCAUGACCUCU
rnacentral:sRNA from 1 species